rnacentral:rRNA from 1 species
UACAGAGGGUGCAAACGUUGCUCGGAAUUACUGGGCGUAAAGCGCAUGUAGGCUGGCCAUUAAGCCAGACGUGAAAUCCCUGGGCUCAACCCGGGAACUGCGUUUGGAACUGAUGGUCUUGAGUACUGAAGAGGGCGGCGGAAUUCUUGGUGUAGAGGUGAAAUUCGUAGAUAUCAAGAGGAACACCGGUGGCGAAGGCGGCCGCCUGGGCAGUAACUGACGCUGAGAUGCGAAAGCGUGGGGAGCAAACAGG